AAAAGAACAAAAGCAAAGAAAAGAAAGGAAGAAGAGGCGAAUGCCUAAGGAAGAAGGAGGAGAAGAAGAAAGCUUAAGGAAUUGGAAAUCUUACUUGAUUUUCAAAGGAUUUUUGUUGGGAAUCAUCUAAGGUAAAAGAGUCCUAGAAGGGGGUGAAGGAGGAGACUUUUUCAGGCCUUGAUACCACUACAUUAUACAAUGAGGCUUUAGCAGUCAAACUUUCUUCUGUUCAGACAGACAGAAAUGGAACUAAGAUCAGGAUCAAUUGUGUCUGCAUAUGUCACCUCCUCAAUUUGUAAAUAUGUAGUGUAGGAGUUAAACUUCUUAACGUCUAUCAUAUAUUAAGUAACUUCUGAAUUAUAUUUGGUCAUAUAUAUAUUUAUUUUUAUAUGACUGUUUGUG